GAACAACACCGCGAACCACCUCAUUUGGACCCCUUGCACCCUCCAAACACCUUCACGAUCACCGGAGUUCCUCGGAAACCUACACGGAACUCGACACAACCACAACCAUCUUUCGUUAUGCUUCGAGCAUCGCCGGAGAGAACCACAGCCUUGCCGCACGUCGGGACGCCGGAGAUGAGGAAGUCAAGAUUUGAAGAAAUGAAUAGGAUGGCCUAG
rnacentral:lncRNA from 1 species